AGAGCCCUGCAAAGCAACAUAGAAUUAUGUUAAACCCACAUAUUUCAUUGUCUGCACCAAUCACUUUCUAGCAUUACAAGCACUACGCUCCCGAGCAUAGCAACAAAUAUUGGCUUUCAGCUGCUUUCAGUGGCUUUCAGCUUCCAAUUGCUGCCUCAAGGAAUCCCUGAUCCUUACGGCCCUGUGCUGUGUCCCUCUAAUAGCCCAGGUCUCAGACUGUUCAGAGCUCAGGACUCUUGACCAGUAUGCUGCUCGCUCUUGCUAAGAUGUCAUGAAUGGCAGUGGAAUUAUUUCUUACAAAGGCAAGAGGAGUGUGACAUUGAUCUUUCCAUGCAUACUAGCUAUGGCACGAGAUUGCUUGUAGAACUCAGAGGCGCUGACCACGGGAACGCUGCUUUUGGGCUCGGGAAACACUGAGUGAUGGGAUUACGUUGUGAUGCACAUCUGGGAUGACGAGCAGUGGCUGCAGAACUUUUGAAUGAGGAAAGCCACAUUCAUAGGACUAUGUGAUGAGCUUGCCCCAUGCCCUGAGUCUGCAGACUGCCUUAUGUAAUAGUUGAGAUGUGUGAACUGGCCCAGUAAUCUCAAUUGGUUGUCAGUUCUGAAACAUUAUAAUGGCAAUGUGAGUCAACUGUUUCAAUUAUCACUUUAGCCGUUAGCAUUUCACAUAAUUUAAGCAAGGUAUCAUUUGUAUAAAGAAUUUAAAUCAAGUCUUAGGUUCUCAUCUCUGCUACUGACCUGCUGUGAGGCAUGGGCAUGUCACUACCUCUCUGCACCUCUGUUUUUCUUUCCUUUUAAUUCUUCUGGGAAUGGGCUUUCUUCCUAUGGCCUUGCCUUCAGGUAGUUUGUUUAUCCCACAAUCUCAAACUGUGUCCUUCCUUUUGGAUACUAAAGUCUACAUUGCCCCUGCCACACUGGCAAAGCAUCCAACUUCAUAUUGUCUACAAUGUAACGAUUCAUUGUAAAUACAAAAGUUUGUGGUGCACUGAAAAGUAAAAUGUAUACGUCGCAGAUUUAAAGGGAUUGGAGCAACCCUAUUUUUCAGUGUGUGAGGCCCAAAGGGGCCAUACUUCUUUCAGUUCGAGUCAUGCAGCCCCCGAUUCUGAGUCUGAACUUUUGGGCUGUAGCACACCCGCUUCUUACUGUUGCUUUCAACAAAGUCCAACUGAAAUCAGACUUCUGAGAGAGGCUGUACCUUCUGAAGGAGCAAUGCAACCAGCAAAGUAUUUGCAGUGAAGCAGGCAGCCUUUUCAAAACAAGAUGGCAUUUAUUAGUCAACUGGAAUAGAACAUAUGGCAGACCUUAGGUGAGCAAGUCUAAGGUUAAAACCAAGUCUAAGUCAGAAUCCAUAUUGGUAGCAAUGGUCCCAAGAUUCCAUUCUCUUCUGAGAUCUGUGGUGUUUCCCAAUAUCUGUCUCUGGAUAUGUCUACGUUGCAAUGUAAGCCCAUUCUUGAGCCUGGGCUCCAGCCUAACUCCUCUUGCAUCUGCACUGCAGUUGUGCUAACCUUGGAUCGAGGGUCGCAGGGCUGGAGGGUCUGAACUGGAGUUAAGCCAGGAUACAGGGUUCGAGUCCUAUUGCUUUGCAGUGUAAAUGCAACCCUGUUUGACUCGGGUCCUGGGAGUUAGCCAGAAUCCCACAAUUCUAUGGGAUAACUUCCUUCGUCCUCCCUAUCCCAAGAAUCUACAAUCCACUCUAUUGAAAACAAGAAGCCACCCCCACUUUGCAAACAGCAGCAGCUCAGGUUGGCGUUGCCCAUUCUUUUCUGAUCAUCAGUCUGUAAGCAUACUAUCAGAGAGCCUCCUGGGUUUGCAAUGGAGAGCGAACUGAUCAAACCUUUUGCAAAGCGAGCUGCUUCAUGGUCACGAGAACACAACCAGAUUUGGUGGCCAGUAAAAUUGUGGACUUCAGCAAAAGUGCCAGGUCUGACUAUGCGUACCAGAAGAUAGCUUAAAAAACUGGCAGCUCUACAGAUUUUUUUUUUUUUUUUUUUUUUUUGGACAAGUGUCCAGUGCAGGGAGCGUAUUAAGAGGCUGAAGAGUGAGUACUGGAAGACUAGGGACAAGAACCACACCUCAGGCAACUCAUCAACAACAUGCCCAUUUUAUGUCGUCUAUGGGUUUUGGACACUGCACCCAGCACAGAGUCCACUCUGCUUCAUGAUGACUUAGUCAGCAGGGGUAUCUCCUGCUGGCCCCUGAAUGCAGCAUGGGAACUGAUGGUAGCCAGCAACAGGCUCCCAGUGAGGAGCUUGAAUAGACUCUCUCCUUUUUAAUGAAAAAAAAUCCCAGAGCAGGCUGUGGAUCAGGAUCAACAGCAAAUUCUCUGACCCUACUUGGAAGAACUGUUUGCUUUCUACCAUUCUCCAUCCCUGACAAGGAACAGCCCACUGACAAACCUGCAGAGAACCUGAUGGAGACAGACGCUACCCCAGAGCCCAGUAAGUGUGACUCAAAUGUAAAGUUUAUUAUUACAGUAGUGGGAGAGGUUUCUGCUGUAAGAAGCAAUGCAAAAAUAAGGCUUGGCUACUGGUGUUCAGUUACUAAUGGCUGACUGUAUAACAGCACCUAGAUGUCUCCCCCCCUAGUCCCCCAAAUGGAGUUCAAAAUGGUGACUUGGAAUUUCAAAUGUUCAUAGACAGCUGAAAGUUAUUUUAACUAUGUCACAGUUGUUGGCUAGGGUCAUUCUUGUUUUCCUUUCAGUAAUAAGUUUGCGACUCUGUAAUCGCUCCUCCUGGGUCUACUGAGCCACUUGUGAACUGUGUGUGUGUGUUUGGGAAACAGUAUUCUAUUUCCAAAUCUAGUCCAUUCAAUUAAAGGACCUUCAAGCUAUGUUGCCUGCUGUUCUUCAGGAACUUGAUCCACGGCCCAACGUAUCCUCAUGGAUGAUUCCAAAAGGAAGUGUUUCCACGAUGACGUUAUGAUUGAUGUUCUUGAGAGGGUAGACCAGCAGGUCCAGUACCAGAAGAAAAGAGCUGAAAGACUGGAACAAUGGCACGCUGACAGGCAGCAGGAAAGGCUAACCUUUGCUGCCCAAAUGGAAGACAGGGUUUCAGUGAGGGAGCAGGCACUUGCAAAUCUGUUCUUGGAACAGGAAUGGCAGCUAAGGGAAGAGGACAGAGCUCAACGGAGAGAACUGUUCAGCAACUCCUGUCCAUAAUGACUGCAAGAGCACCAGCUCCUGCUGCCUCCCCCACACCAUGGCAUGAUCACCCUGCAAGAUACCAGCAGUAGCUUGGAUAUCUCCAUUUUGGGGCAGCUUGUGCAUUCAGGAGUCAUGAGGUGCGGGGCAGGACAACUACACACCAUGCAGCCUUUCUUCUUCAACCCCUUUCCAGUGGAAACCUCCAUCCAUCUCCCCUGCUGUCAAGUGAGGAGAAAAUAUGUAAAGAAGGGAAAGGAGAAUGUGGGGCCUGGGGACAUGUAGAAGUAGAUUGUGUUGGGUCCUUUUUUGUGGAUCUGCCCAAGGCUGUUUUUACUGUUUUAAGACAUUUUUACAAAUAAAGCGUGCUAUGUUUUCAA